rnacentral:rRNA from 1 species
CAGUAGCCGCGGGAAUACGGAGGGUGCAAGCGUUAUCCGGAUUUAUUGGGCGUAAAGCGUGCGUAGGCGGCUUCUUAAGUCGGAUGUGAAAUCCCUGAGCUUAACUUAGGAAUUGCAUUCGAUACUGGGAAGCUAGAGUAUGGGAGAGGAUGGUAGAAUUCCAGGUGUAGCGGUGAAAUGCGUAGAGAUCUGGAGGAAUACCGAUGGCGAAGGCAGCCCCCUGGGCCAAUACUGACGCUCAUGCACGAAAGCGUGGGGAGCAAACAGGAUUAGAUACCCGAGUAGUCCCUGUCUCUUAUAC